CAGCACUGGGGGGUUCUCUAAGAGGGGAUGGCGGCCCUGAGGGGGUUUUCUCCACGAGGGGAUGGUGGCACUGGAGGAGUCCCCGUGGCUGUGUCACCCCGAUGCCACGGCAGGCAGGGACGAUCGCCACAGCACACACAUGUCCCCGCCGGGCCCCCGUGCGGCAGGGCCGGGUUGUCCCCGCCCGCCCUCUCUAACCCGCCAUGUCAGGGGCGGGGCCGCCCCCGCCCUCACAGCGAUGGCGGCGGCUCCGGGGGGCUUCGUGUGGGCUCUGUGAGGGCUCCGUGAGGCACCCGAAUUUAGGAGCUCGCUAAACACAGACACACGUCUUAGUUUGGGAAAGGACGCAUUGUUCAUCCCGCUCAUUGCGCCUCCACAGAUCAGGCAGCCCAAGGGGUGAAAACUCACCUCUUUUAUGCAGUAAAGUUCACACGAGCCCGCUCGCCUAAUACGUAUUUGCUUGGGUGAUGUGAUCUUACCUGAAACACAAAGCUCUUUUCUUCAUUCAGCAACUUCUGUUGUAGAAGUUACCAGAAGUUAUCUGGCAACUUCAGUCUUGUUUACAAAAGGGUGCGAGGUGGAGGUUUCCACGAAGGAAACACGUCAAAGGGUAAAAAGUUACCUCCUUUAUACGCAUCUUCUGUCCUGGAGGUUAUCAGUAGUUAUCUGACGACAUGAGUUAUGUUUACAAAAGGUGGGAAAACUCAUCCCAGGGACAGACAAUUCGACAGGAAGACAAACAUCCACCUCCACCUGCCUGUGCACUGAUGGUUUAAGCUGUUCUUUAUUAAAUCUAUG